AAAGAAAACAAAUGAAAUAAAAGAAUAGAAAAAGAGAAGAAGAACAGAAAAGAAACAGAGAAAGAGUCGAAAACAGGGGAAGAAAAAGGGAAAGAAAAGAAAGGGGGAAAAUUGAGAUUUUGAAGCUUGAAGUUUAAUAGCUAGUAAAGAAUUUGAGGUAUCGGCACAAAAAGGGAAGCAGAAGGUCGUUGAGGAAUAAUCGAGCAAAUUCGGGUUGAAAAGGGGUCAGAGUCUCGGUUCAGCAUCCAGGACAAUCCCGACUCCUGCAUAGAGUUUUCAGUGAUGUUUUCUUCCUUAAAUGAAAGUGGCAUGUACAUAAGAAUUAUAAUAGUUAUUUUGGUAUGUUAUAUAGUUUUGUUGUAAAGUAAGAUAUAAUGUGUUUUGAUGAUUAUAUUAGUAAAAUGGUAGAAGUCAUUUAUGGCAUUGGUAUCGAAUUGAAA